UGCUAGCUGAAGUACGAUGCAAUUAGCUAAAAUACAGUGCAAGAUACAAUCUCAAGACGUUGUAGAAUCAUCAUAGAAAAAUUAAUAACUUAAAUAGUGUAAUCCAUUACCGAGUACAGACAAAAUAAAAAGGCUUAAAAAGUUGUUCCCAAGUUAUAUAAAUUGGCCUGCUUUUCUUCUAUAUUGUACUUCUACAGGAGUUUUUGUGCAGAUUGACAGCACUUGAUGCUGUAGCAUUCAAUACAAUCUUUGCAAUAUGAGAAAUUCUAGGAUAUCCUCAAAAAUUUAAGGGUUCUCUUCUAUAUUGAAAAAACUCUUCCUUAAUGUGUCCAAACUCAUUUAAAUAUUGGUCCAAAAAACAUACGUACCAAAACCCUUACAGCUCUAAAGAUAUCCUGCUCACCCCUCUUGUAGUAUUAAGUAGUCUGAUCUGCACAUCAGGAACAAAAAUGUUUCCUUGUGNNNNN
rnacentral:lncRNA from 1 species